rnacentral:rRNA from 1 species
ACAAUGCGGGACUAUACGUCUUGCAAUUGGAUUGAGAACAAUGUACAACUCUUAUCGAUAAGCCAUUGGAGGGCAAGUCUGGUGCCAGCAGCCGCGGUAAUUCCAGCUCCAAUAGCGUAUAUUAACGUUGUUGCAGUUAAAAAGCUCGUAGUUGAAGUGUGGGUGAUCGCUGUUGUGAGACUUCGGUCUCUCGACAGUAAGUCACCCCCUUCCAGUAUCCAGUAGUGGGUAUUCACUUACUUACUAUUGUGUGUUGGUCCUUUACUGUGAGAAAAUUAGAGUGUUCAAAGCAGGCGUUUGCUUGAAUAGAUUAGCAUGGAAUAAUAAUUGAAGGCUUUCGUGUUCGAUUUGAUUGGUUUGUUCAUGGAAGCAAGGUUAAAAGGAACAGUUGGGGGUAUUCAUAUUCACUAGUUAGAGGUGAAAUUCUCGGAUUUAUGGAA